rnacentral:rRNA from 1 species
AGCGAACGCUGGCGGCAGGCUUAACACAUGCAAGUCGAACGCCCCGCAAGGGGAGUGGCAGACGGGCGAGUAACACGUGGGAACGUACCCUUUGGUUCGGAAUAACUUGGGGAAACUCAAGCUAAUACCGGAUAAGCCCUUAUGGGGCAAGGCUUACUGCCGAAGGAUCGGCCCGCGUCUGAGUAGCUAGUUGGUGGGGUAAUGGCUCACCCAGGCGACGAUCAGUAGCUGGUCUGAGAGGAUGAUCAGCCACACUGGGACUGCGACACGGCCCAGACUCCUACGGGGGGCAGCAGUGGGGAAUAUUGGACAAUGGGGGCAACCCUGAUCCAGCCAUGCCGCGUGAGUGAUGAAGGCCUUAGGGUUGUAAAGCCCUUUUACCCGGGACGAUAAUGACUGUACCGGGAGAAUAAGCCCCGGCUAACUUCGUGCCAGCCGCCGCGGUAA